GACGAACGCUGGCGGCGUGCUUAACACAUGCAAGUCGAGCGAACAAAGCUCCUUCGGGAGUGGAGUUAGCGGCGGACGGGUGAGUAACACGUGGGUAACCUGCCUUAUAGAGGGGGAUAGCCUUCCGAAAGGAAGAUUAAUACCGCAUAAGAAGUAGAAGUCGCAUGGCUUUAGCUUUAAAGGAGCAAUCCGCUAUAAGAUGGACCCGCGGCGCAUUAGCUAGUUGGUGAGGUAACGGCUCACCAAGGCGACGAUGCGUAGCCGACCUGAGAGGGUGAUCGGCCACAUUGGAACUGAGACACGGUCCAGACUCCUACGGGAGGCAGCAGUGGGGAAUAUUGCACAAUGGGCGAAAGCCUGAUGCAGCAACGCCGCGUGGGUGAUGAAGGUUUCGGAUUGUAAACCUCUGUCCUUGGUGACGAACAAAUGACGUAGCCAUGGAGAAGCCACGGCUAACUACGUG
rnacentral:rRNA from 1 species